rnacentral:rRNA from 1 species
UGCAAGUCGAACGGGAACCUCUUAAAAGGAGGUUUUUAGUGGCGAACGGGUGAGUAACACGUAAGUAACCUGCCUUUAAGACGAGGAUAACAACCGGAAGGUUACUAAGACUGGAUAGGAAACAAAAAGGCAUCUUUUUGUUUUUAAAAGACCUUCUUACGAAGGUAUGCUUAAAGAGGGGCUUGCGCCACAUUAGUUAGUUGGUAGAGUAAAAGCCUACCAAGACGAUGAUGUGUAGCUGGACUGAGAGGUUGAACAGCCACAUUGGGACUGAGACACGGCCCAAACUCCUACGGGAGGCAGCAGUAGGGAAUUUUCGGCAAUGGAGGAAACUCUGACCGAGCAACGCCGCGUGAACGAUGAAGUAUUUCGGUAUGUAAAGUUCUUUUAUUGAAGAAGAAAAAGUAGUGGAAAAACUAUAUUGACGUUAUUCAAUGAAUAAGCCCCGGCUAACUAUGUGCCAGCAGCCGCGGUAAGACAUAGGGGGCGAGCGUUAUCCGGAAUUAUUGGGCGUAAAGGGUGCGUAGGCUGUUAGAUAAGUCUAUAAUUUAAUUUCAGUGCUUAACGCUGUCUUGUUAUAGAAACUGUCUUGACUAGAGUGAGAUAGAGGCAAGCGGAAUUCCAUGUGUAGCGGUAAAAUGUGUAAAUAUAUGGAGGAACACCAGAAGCGUAGGCGGCUUGCUGGGUCUUUACUGACGCUGAGGCACGAAAGCGUGGGUAGCAAACAGGAUUAGAUACCCUGGUAGUCCACGCCGUAAACGAUGAGUACUAAGUGUCGGGGUAAAACUCGGUACUGAAGUUAACACAUUAAGUACUCCGCCUGAGUAGUACGUACGCAAGUAUGAAACUUAAAGGAAUUGACGGGACUCCGCACAAGCGGUGGAUCAUGUUGUUUAAUUCGAAGAUACACGAAAAAUCUUACCAGGUCUUGACAUACUCUGCAAAGCUAUAGAAAUAUAGUGGAGGUUAUCAGGGAUACAGGUGGUGCAUGGUUGUCGUCAGUUCGUGUCGUGAGAUGUUAGGUUAAGUCCUAAAACGAACGCAACCCUUGUCGUUAAUUGCCAGCACAUAAUGGUGGGGACUUUAACGAGACUGCCAAUUAAACAUUGGAGGAAGGUGAGGAUUACGUCAAAUCAUCAUGCCCCUUAUGAUCUGGGCUACAAACGUGAUACAAUGGCUGUGACAAAGAGUAGCUGAAACGCGAGUUUUUAGCCAAUCUCAAAAAAGCAGUCUCAGUUCGGAUUGAAGUCUGUAACUCGACUUCAUGAAGUUGGAAUCGCUAGUAAUCGCGAAUCAGCAUGUCGCGGUGAAUACGUUCUCGGGGUUUGUACACACCGCCCGUCAAACCACGAAAGUUAGCAAUGCCCGAAAGCAGUAGCUUAACUUCGCAAGAAGAGGGAACCUAG